GUCUACAGUCAUACCUCCCUGGAUGCACCUGAUCUCAUCUGAUCUCAGAAGCUAAGCAGGUUGGGCCUGGUUAGUAGUUGGAUGGAAGAAAUGACCUCCAAAAGAGAGGUAAGCC
rnacentral:rRNA from 1 species